AGAGUUUGAUCCUGGCUCAGGACGAACGCUGGCGGCGUGCUUCAUACAUGCAAGUCGAACGAGAAGCUUACUUCGGUAAGUGGAAAGUGGCGGACGGGUGAGUAAUGUGUAGAGAAUCUGCCCUUGAGCGGGGGACAACAGCUGGAAACGGUUGCUAAUACCCCAUAUGAGGUAAGUUGAAAUACUUAUCUUGAAAACUCCGGUGCUCAAGGAUGAGUCUGCAUCUGAUUAGCUAGUUGGCGGUGUAAUGGACCACCAAGGCGACGAAACCCUGACGCAGCAACGCCGCGUGAAUGAUUAAGCCCUUCGGGGUGUAAAGUUCUGUCAGCAGGGACGAAUAAUGACGGUACCUGCAGAGGAAGCACCGGCUAACUCCGUGCCAGCAGCCGCGGUAAUACGGAGGGUGCAAGCGUUGUCCGGAAUCAUUGGGCGUAAAGAGUUCGUAGGUGGCCUGUAAAGUCUGGUGUUAAAUGCAGAAGCUCAACUUCUGUUCGGCACUGGAUACUUGCAAGCUGGAAUGCGGUAGAGGUAAAGGGAAUUCCUGGUGUAGCGGUGAAAUGCGUAGAUAUCAGGAGGAACAUCGGUGGCGUAAGCGCUUUACUGGGCCGUAAUUGACACUGAGGAACGAAAGCCAGGGUAGCAAAUGGGAUUAGAUACCCCAGUAGUCCUGGCCGUAAACGAUGGAUACUAGGUGUUGCGGGUAUCGACCCCUGCAGUGCCGCAGCUAACGCGAUAAGUAUCCCGCCUGGGGAGUACGCACGCAAGUGUGAAACUCAAAGGAAUUGACGGGGACCCGCACAAGCGGUGGAACAUGUGGUUUAAUUCGAAGCAACGCGAAGAACCUUACCAGGGCUUGACAUCUGAGGAACUUUUGUGAAAGCAGAAGGUGCUCUUCGGAGAGCCUCAAGACAGGUGGUGCACGGUUGUCGUCAGCUCGUGUCGUGAGAUGUUGGGUUAAGUCCCGCAACGAGCGCAA
rnacentral:rRNA from 1 species